UGGAAUUUGUUGGAAUCGAACCAACGUUAAACGUUUUGGAGACGUUUGUCCUACCACUAGACGAAAAUUCC
rnacentral:tRNA from 1 species